GUUAUAUGGUCAAGCGAAUAAGCGCACACGGUGGAUGCCUAGGCGGUCAGAGGCGAUGAAGGACGUGGUAGCCUGCGAAAAGUGUCGGGGAGCUGGCAACAAGCUUUGAUCCGGCAAUAUCCGAAUGGGGAAACCCACUGCUUCGGCAGUAUCCUGCAGUGAAUUCAUAGCUGCUGGAAGCGAACCCGGUGAACUGAAAUAUCUAAGUAACCGGAGGAAAAGAAAUCAACCGAGAUUCCCUAAGUAGUGACGAGCGAACGGGGAGCAGCCCUUAAGCUGGAAUGGCUUUAGAAAAACAAUCUGGAAAGAUUGGCCAUAGAAGGUGAUAGCCCUGUAUUUAAAAGGGCCACUCCAGUGAAGACGAGUAGGGCGGGGCACGUGAAACCCUGUCUGAAUAUGGGGGGACCAUCCUCCAAGGCUAAAUACUCCUGACCGACCGAUAGUGAACCAGUACCGUGAGGGAAAGGCGAAAAGAACCCCGGAGAGGGGAGUGAAAUAGAUCCUGAAACCGUGUGCGUACAAGCAGUAGGAGCUCGCAAGAGUGACUGCGUACCUUUUGUAUAAUGGGUCAGCGACUUACUGUUCGUGGCAAGCUUAACCGUAUAGGGGAGGCGAAGGGAAACCGAGUCUGAUAAGGGCGCAUAGUCGCGGGCAGUAGACCCGAAACCGGGUGAUCUAGUCAUGGCCAGGGUGAAGGUGCCGUAACAGGUACUGGAGGCCCGAACCCACGUCUGUUGCAAAAGACGGGGAUGAGCUGUGAUUAGGAGUGAAAAGCUAAUCGAACCCGGAGAUAGCUGGUUCUCCUCGAAAGCUAUUUAGGUAGCGCCUCGGACGAAUACUACUGGGGGUAGAGCACUGUUAUGGCUAGGGGGUCAUCGCGACUUACCAAACCAUUGCAAACUCCGAAUACCAGUACGUACUAUCCGGGAGACACACGGCGGGUGCUAACGUCCGUCGUGAAAAGGGAAACAACCCAGACCCACAGCUAAGGUCCCAAAUUCACUGCUAAGUGGAAAACGAUGUGGAAAGGCAUAGACAGCCAGGAGGUUGGCUUAGAAGCAGCCACCCUUUAAAGAAAGCGUAAUAGCUCACUGGUCGAGUCGGUCUGCGCGGAAGAUUUAACGGGGCUAAGCAGUGAACCGAAGCUUGGGGUGCAUAAAACGUGUUUUAUGCGCGGUAGAGGAGCGUUCCGUAAGCCUGCGAAGGUGGAUUGAGAAGUCUGCUGGAGGUAUCGGAAGUGCGAAUGCUGACAUGAGUAACGAUAAUGCGGGUGAAAAGCCCGCACGCCGAAAGCCCAAGGUUUCCUUGCGCAACGUUAAUCGACGCAGGGUUAGUCGGUCCCUAAGGCGAGGGCGAAAGCCGUAGUCGAUGGGAAGCAGGUUAAUAUUCCUGCACCUCGCGUGAGUGCGAUGGAGGGACGGAGAAGGUUAGGUGUACCGGGCGUUGGUUGUCCCGGGGAAAGGCGGUAGGUUUGGAUCUUUGGCAAAUCCGGGAUCCUUUAAGACCGAGCACCGAGACGAGCCUUUAUGGCGAAGUCACUGAUACCACGCUUCCAGGAAAAGCUCCUAAGCUUCAGCUCACGAAGACCGUACCGUAAACCGACACAGGUGGGUAGGAUGAGAAUUCUCAGGCGCUUGAGAGAACUCGGGUGAAGGAACUAGGCAACAUGGCACCGUAACUUCGGGAGAAGGUGCACCCUUUUUGGUGGCUCAUGCGAGCUAUAGCUGAAGAGGGUCGCAGAAACCAGGCCGCUGCGACUGUUUAUCAAAAACACAGCACUCUGCAAACACGAAAGUGGACGUAUAGGGUGUGACGCCUGCCCGGUGCUGGAAGGUUAAUUGAUGGGGUCAGCCGCAAGGCGAAGCUCUUGAUCGAAGCCCCAGUAAACGGCGGCCGUAACUAUAACGGUCCUAAGGUAGCGAAAUUCCUUGUCGGGUAAGUUCCGACCUGCACGAAUGGCGUAACGACAGCGGCGCUGUCUCCACCCGAGACUCAGUGAAAUUGAAAUCGCUGUGAAGAUGCAGCGUUCCCGUGGCAAGACGGAAAGACCCCGUGAACCUUUACUAUAGCUUUACACUGAACGUUGAGUUCGUCUGUGUAGGAUAGGUGGGAGGCUAUGAAACUGUGGCGCUAGCUGCAGUGGAGCCAUCCUUGAAAUACCACCCUGUCGUGCUUGACGUUCUAACCUAGGUCCGUUAUCCGGAUCAGGGACCGUGUAUGGUGGGUAGUUUGACUGGGGCGGUCUCCUCCUAAAGAGUAACGGAGGAGCACGAAGGUACGCUCAGCGCGGUCGGACAUCGCGCACUGUGUGCAAAGGCAUAAGCGUGCUUGACUGCAAGAUCGACGGAUCAAGCAGGUACGAAAGUAGGUCUUAGUGAUCCGGUGGUUCUGUAUGGAAGGGCCAUCGCUCAACGGAUAAAAGGUACUCCGGGGAUAACAGGCUGAUACCGCCCAAGAGUUCAUAUCGACGGCGGUGUUUGGCACCUCGAUGUCGGCUCAUCACAUCCUGGGGCUGUAGUCGGUCCCAAGGGUAUGGCUGUUCGCCAUUUAAAGUGGUACGCGAGCUGGGUUCAGAACGUCGUGAGACAGUUCGGUCCCUAUCUGCCAUGGGCGUUGGAAGUUUGAGAGGGGCUGCUCCUAGUACGAGAGGACCGGAGUGGACGAACCUCUGGUGUUCCGGUUGUCACGCCAGUGGCAUUGCCGGGUAGCUAUGUUCGGAAGCGAUAACCGCUGAAAGCAUCUAAGCGGGAAGCGCGCCUCAAGAUGAGACUUCCCGGGGCACAAGCCCCCUAAAGGAACCAUGUAGACUACGUGGUUGAUAGGUCAGGUGUGUAAGUACAGCAAUGUAUUGAGCUAACUGAUACUAAUGAUCCGUGCGGCUUGACCAUAUAACCUCA
rnacentral:rRNA from 1 species